rnacentral:rRNA from 1 species
CCAAUAGCGUAUAUUAAAGUUGUUGCAGUUAAAAAGCUCGUAGUUGAAUUUCGGGGUUAGUAGGUCGGUCGUGCCACUGGUAUGCACUGGUUCUACUGAUCCCUCCUUCUUGUAGAACCGUAAUGCCAUUAAUUUGGUGUUGCGGGGAAACAGGACUGUUACUUUGAAAAAAUUAGAGUGUUUAAAGCAGGCUAACGCUUGAAUACAUUAGCAUGGAAUAAUGAAAUAGGACGAUCGAUCCUAUUUUGUUGGCUUCUAGGAUUGACGUAAUGAUUAAUAGGGAUAGUUGGGGGCAUUAGUAUUCAAUUGUCAGAGGUGAAAUUCUUGGAUUUAUUGAAGACUAACUACUGCGAAAGCAUUUGCCAAGGAUGUUUUCAUUAAUCAAGAACGAAAGUUAGGGGAUCGAAGACGAUCAGAUACCGUCGUAGUCUUAACCAUAAACUAUGCCGACUAGGGAUCGGAUGAUGUUAAUUUUUUAAUGACUCAUUCGGCGCCUUACG